GCACAGAGUGCAAUUCCAUGAAAAGCGGCGUAUGGUCCCCAGUUUAUUAUUCAAUGAUAAUCGUUUAUACAAGAACAAAAAUAAAAACACUUCGCGUUUAUUAGCAAAGAAGUCUGACGGUAGAUUAAAAUUACAUGUCGUAGAACGUAAAAGAGUAAAAAAAAUGUGGAAUGAUUUCAAUCUGCGAAGAAACUGACACAUCUAUCAAGCAAAAAGAGUUACAAGAUAUUUCGAAAAUACCACGUUUAAUUCUUACGUUUCCAUAACAUUACUAGUUUGAUCUCUCAAUCAAGUGAAAGCGAUCCAUGACAUCGUCUAAUAUGAAUUUAAAGGCUAGAAAUAUAUCGAAAUUUACAGAAUGUAAUAACGGACUAAAUACUUUCCAUAAAAUGACAUUUUUUACUCAUUACCUAAUACGGAAGACCCGACGUGUGGCUUAUUUAUGUAAAUGAAAACAUUACGCUCAUUUGAGCAGAUAGCUGUUUUGUUAGAAAACUUCUACAAAAUGAGAAGAUUAACGAAUGUCAGAUAGCCAUAUUUGGUUAAUUUGGUUCCUAGAUGAAUGACACUAUUCAUUAUUUUAUAGAAAUAACACUCUCCCAAUUAUCCUACCAUCACAAUAACAACAAAUAAAAGGAGCUGCAAAUGAAAGUUAACGUUAUUUUAUUCACAACAUACAAGCUGUACAGAAUUCGAGAUUGGCACCGUUUCUAACGACACAUUUUACUGCAAUAUUUUGCUUUUGUGAUCUUCAUAUUUUAGUAGAUUUUCGACAUAAUGGCAAAAAUGAUUUCAUUUUCAAGCUGUGUUGUUGUUUUGUCAGCAAUACUCCUCUUGGUGAAUUCAUUCCCUUUCGACGAGAUAUCCAUUCCUUCAGAAGGCCUGUCGAAUGAGUUAUGUUCAGUGGAUCACUGCGACUGGGUCCUGCACAACUGUGAUCUCAGCUGCACAAUCAGUUACGGAAAACACAAAGUUGGAAGGGCUGGUCAAAUGUUUCGUCAGUGCUUACAGGAAUGUGCUAAUGAUUAUAUCGUCUGUUUGCAAUCGUGCUAAGAAAUGCAUUUACACCUAUUUCAUAGGCAGCGCAUAUGUUUGCAAAUCAAGUUGAAAAACAAACACAAAAGGACAAAAAUAUUAAUACAUAAUGUGAAAGAAUAAUGACAAUAAUUCCAAAAUGUGCGGAAUAAUGAUACUAAAGAUAAGUUAGUAUGACUAUCCAGUACAAAAGUUUUGUUUCUUGAUUUUUUCCACAACAUAAUUUAAUUUCUCACUGGUGUUUGUGUUUCGGUUAAAUAUGUUGUCAAAAGCUUUACAAAAAGUUAUAUCUUAAUGUCUUUCCUUUGUCUAAUGUCUAAUUUUGUAAAUGCUACUUUCUACUUUAUUACCAUACAUCAAUACUACGAGUUUAUAUUUAGGAUCUGAUCAAGUUUUUGAACUUCUUUUACAGUUGUUACCCUUGUACUGAUUGACAUGAGCCAUAUUUCUUUAAAUUGCAUGUACAUUGCCUCAUCAAUAUAGUAUCAGAAGCAUAAAGACACCCUUGUCAUUACCAUUUUAAAACAGUAUCUUAUAAAAAUCCAGCUUAUCAUGUGUAUAAAAGAUGCAAGACACUUUUCUGAUAUGGAAACGUCUUUAUACAAAGUUACCUACAUAGGAUUUUUCAUUUCCUUCAUAAUAGUUUCGAUUCAAGGUUUUGAUGUUCACACGAUUCCCGAAUCGGUUUUUAGCAUCUAAAUUUUAUUUCUUGUAAUCAUAUCUGUCAGACAUUAUAUUGAUGUUAAAAUUGGCAUUGGCGCUAGUAAAGAUCUAUGUGGGACGCAAGAGGAAGUACCAAGUGUCUCAGGUUACAGUUUUAAAUUGUUCAGCUGGCUGCUAACUGGAAGAUGUGAAAUAAAAUCAAAUUGUACUUUUAUGAGAAACUGAUCAAAUGUUAAAUGAGUUUCGUGUGUCCAGUAGAAAACUUUCUCAUAUGAAUAAUGGCUUUGUCAAAAGAAGGUACAGAGGGAUUUUGCUAGCAGUUCAUAAUAUUUGGCGAAGUAAGUUUGUAUUUCUAUCGCUAGAUGACUUUUCUUAUAAGAUUUAUGACAAUUGAAAUUGUUAAUGUAAAUUUGUAUUCUAAUUAAUAUCACACUAAAUUUAACAAAUUUAUUUUAAUAUGUCACAAAUGUACUUAAUUUUUGGGUGAUCCCCGGAACAAAUUAUUGCGAAAGGGCACAUACAAGGAGACCAUUAUCGUUCCUCAUACGUCUUGGGAGAAGGAAAAUUACUUGCUUUGCUGUGUUGCAUCUUCUGCGUCGUCUCUACAUAAGUAACUAUGCAUUUUUUAUUGCACAGUUAUGUUUCUAUAUUAUCAUUAUUAUCCCUACAUGAGCUGCCUGUAAUAUGUGUCCUUCCGCAAUAAUUUGGUCCGUGGAUUACACUUCAUUAUAAAGUGUAUUAAAAACCUUUAUGCUUGAUAUGCCACUGCAUUGAAUUUUAGCCUGGUACGAUAGUCUGAUUGACAGGUGCGGAAAAAUAAUUUUAUGGAACUGAAAUUGUCAAUGAAAUUUUGUGUUAGAUAUACUGAAAACCAUUGUUCACAUGUCAUUACGAUGUAUAUAUGCUAUAAACCUCUUCACGUGUUUAGGUGUUUAAUAAACAAAGGAAAUAAUAUAAAGUGAAUUGUGUUUACCACAUAAAGGAAAGGAUAUCUAUUAAAUUGUGCUUUCUGGUUUUAAUUACAAUGAGAAUAAAAAUUAAAAUACGCUAUAAACGUACUGAUAUUCUUAAUAUGGAUGUCAAAAAAAAUAUACCAAGUAAUGGGAUAGAACUUAUCAUGAUAUUUCCGGUAUUCUUCAAUACAAAACAGUCGUCAUGUAUUCCAUCAAAAGUGUGAUUUAUGUGUCAUGUCAUACAUUUUGUCGGUUUAAUAUGAUGAUUUAACAUGUUCUUUUAAACGAACAUUGGAGUCACAAAAUAAUUAUUAUGAUGAACGAUGCUGACGGCAAGUAGAAAAUACUAAUGUACAUGAUAAAAUCGUCUAUAUUUUUUAAUACUGAUUAAAGUGGAACCUUCUUAAA
rnacentral:lncRNA from 1 species